UACGUAGGGGGCAAGCGUUGUCCGGAUUUAUUGGGCGUAAAGAGCUCGUAGGCGGCUCAUCGCGUCUGCCGUGAAAACCCGCAGCUCAACUGCGGGCUUGCGGUUGAUACGGGUGGGCUGGAGUUCGGUAGGGGAGACUGGAAUUCCUGGUGUAGCGGUGAAAUGCGCAGAUAUCAGGAGGAACACCAACGGCGAAGGCAGCUCGCUGGGACGGUACUGACGCUGAGGCGCGAAAGCGUGGGGAGCGAACAGG
rnacentral:rRNA from 1 species